rnacentral:rRNA from 1 species
UACGUAGGGCGCAAGCGUUGUCCGGAAUUAUUGGGCGUAAAGAGCUCGUAGGCGGUUUUUCGCGUCUGCUGUGAAAACCUAAGGCUCAACCUUGGGCUUGCAGUGGGUACGGGCAGACUAGAGUGCGGUAGGGGUGACUGGAAUUCCUGGUGUAGCGGUGGAAUGCGCAGAUAUCAGGAGGAACACCGAUGGCGAAGGCAGGUCACUGGGCCGCAACUGACGCUGAGGAGCGAAAGCAUGGGGAGCGAACAGG